UCCCUUGCUAGCCGGCUCGGGCAGCCAUUGGCUCGGGAGGCGAGGCCAGCGGGAGGGUCAUUGUUCUCACGUGACGGCGAACCGGGGAGAAGAGAUAGAAGCAGCAGCAGCAGCCACGUCGGGACACUUCCCUACCAGUCCAGCGAUGGAUCGGCACAUGGCCCAUCACACAACGUAGCUGGACGUCCAGUGGAAGGCCUGCCGGCAACCAGAGUAGAAGCGUCCUAGGAAGCUUCCUUCCAAACAUGGGAGCCUGCCUGUGUUGUGCUGGGUCCAAUGGAACCAGUACAGAUCCAUGGCGCUUUGGCAAUGCUUCCCCCAUGUGAUGGAGGAAGUGUCGCCACAACAAAGCAUUGCAUUGUGUCACAGAGUCACCCCUCAUCCCUGCUGUUUCUCCAUGGAUACAUUCCUGGAUUUUGUGCGAAUACAUGAAACUGAGCAUAAUAGCAAACCCUAUUUUCAAUAGGAUGAAUGAUGGAAUUACCAAGAAAAGAGUAUAGUUUGUCCAGGAAAUCCUACUUGAAUACCUGGAUAUGUAAAAUCAUGGAUAAGUAAAACUGCAUAUAUCAGUUCUGUGGAUACAGGAAAUGUAUUUUAAUUGUCAAUGAAUUGCAUCCUAUCCCAUUGUAAAUAUAGAGCACAUGGGAACUAUUCUCAGUGGAGUGAUAUUGAAAACUUCUUCAUUAUAUCAUAGAGUUGUAAACAAACUGCAGCCUGUCUCCAUCACACACACACACACAUUUGAGCAACAGGAAUAGGCUUCCUAGUUCAUGUUAGAAUCCAGGACCCAAAUAUUUUCUUGUCAGAGCCAUGUGUUUCUGGCAAACACUUUAAUGCAGUUUACUAAAAAAAUAAAUAAUAAUAACCUGUUUGCCAAAGGCAGUACAAGUGAGAAGAAACACUAUCUGAAGUUUCAAGAAUGUCUUUUAAUAAGGUACAGCAUUUGCAGUCAAAAUGAGUAAACAAGCCCUGAAGGCAGGAAGUGGUAGCCAAAAACCUUAUGCAACAGGCUAAAGAAACCUCUGUUGCUUUAUUACAGCCCUCUUUGAGGGCCUCCUUCAGCUUCCCAAGUAGAUAUAUAUAUAUAUUUCCAUUUCCUUCAGGGAAAUGAUUUUCUUGGAUGCCAGUGACUGAGGCUUAUGUAUAUAGUGAGGAGAAAAUUCAGCACUCUUGAAUACCUUGUGUAGUAGGGUACUCUGAAUUAUAUCUGCAUCAAAUGAGAGUUUUAGACUUUAUUUGAAAGUAGGACAAUUGGUACUUUUAGCCACUGCAAAGUUUGAAAUGAACUGUCAGAGAUGUAUGUGCACACAUGCCUGGCUUCUCAUAUAGCUACAAUAUGGCCAAUAACUCUUUCCCUUGAAAUAUUGAAAACAACUUAUAGUGCUCAUUAUCAGCCUGCAAGAACAUUAGUAAAAAUGUACAUAGAACAGGUGGAAUAGACUAGCACAAUGUGAUGCUCUAACUGAGGGCUUCUUAAACUGUUCUACUUGUAACUUGUAACUUGAACUUGUAACUUGAAGGUUGGGUUGCUGACCUGAAGGCUGCCAGGUUCGAAUCCCACCCGGGGAGAGCGCGGAUGAGCUCCCUCUAUCAGCUCCAGCUCCAUGCGGGGGCAUGAGAGAAGCCUCCCACAAGGAUGGUAAAAACAUCAAAAACAUCCAGGCGUCCCCUGGGCAACGUCCUUGCAGACGGCCAAUUCUCUCACACCAGAAGCGACUCAGGUUGCUCCUGACACAAAAAAACCCCUAUUCUACUCGGAACCUCUUGUGGCUAGAGAAAUGUUUAUGUGACCCCUGUGUAUAUACAGAUAUAUAACAUAGGUAUGAAACAAAUACUGAUAACAAAUCAGUAUUUGCAAAGCUUGCUAACACUUUAUCACUGUUACUUAUUUCCAUGAUACAGCACUUUAUGAAACCUGUCCCUGCCGGUUUGCUUUUAAUUACUCUGAUUUUAUAUCUGCUUGGAUUUUAAUGUAUUGUCCAUUAUUUUAUUUUGUGUAUCGUUGGAAUGUUUUAAGUUUUUGUCAAAUAUGUUGUAUUGUUAUUUCGGGCUUGUCCCUGUUGUGAGCCGCCCCGAGUCCCUUCGGGGAGAUGGCGCGGGAUAUAAAAAUAAAAUUUAUUUAUUAUUUAUUUA